GAUGAACGCUAGCUACAGGCUUAACACAUGCAAGUCGUGGGGCAUCAUGAUGUAGUAAUACAUUGAUGGCGACCGGCGCACGGGUGAGUAACGCGUAUCCAACCUACCCUCCACUCAAGUAUAGGCUUCCGAAAGGGAGAUUAAUCCUUGAUAUCGUCAUUCUCUCUCCUGUUAGAAUGAUAAAAGGACAUCGUUUCGGUAGAGGAUGGGGAUGCGUUCCAUUAGGUAGUAGGUGGUUUAACAGGCCACCUAGCCGAUGAUGGAUAGGGGUUCUGAGAGGAAUGUCCCCCACACUGGUACUGAGAUACGGACCAGACUCCUACGGGAGGCAGCAGUGAGGAAUAUUGGUCAAUGGGCGCAAGCCUGAACCAGCCAUGUAGCGUGAAGGAUGACGGUUUUUUUGAUUGUAAACUUCUUUUCUGUGGGAUUAAAGUGUGGCAUUUAUGCCAUAUUGCAGUAUCUC
rnacentral:rRNA from 1 species